UCACUAAUUCCAUAUUGUAGAUAAAUAUAACACGAUAAUCGCUAGGUGAAUGUCGAUUUGUUCGUUUACUAAUCACUAAUUCCAUAUUGUAGAUAAAUAUGACACGAUAGUCACUAGGUGAAUGUCGAUUUGUUCGUUUACUUAUCACUAUAUCCAUAUUGUAGAUAGAUAUAACACGAUAAUCGAUAGGUGAAUGUCGAUUUGUUUGUUUACUAAUCACUAAUUCCAUAUUGUAGAUAAAUAUAACACGAUAAUCGCUAGGUGAAUGUCGAUUUGUUUGUUUACUAAUCACUAAUUCCAUAUUGUAGGUAGAUAUAAUGUCACCAACACUAGGUGAAGGUAAGUUUAGAAAUCGCGCAUUUCAAGUGACUGUAUUUUUUAUUUCAUAUUAUUUUAUGACUACUCCAGAUAGAUAUGCAUUGUAAAUAAACUCAUCAUAGAUACCAGGCUUAAAAUUUUUGAACUUUCACCUGAGCACCAAUGAGGUUUAGGCACCAUCUUGGAUCUGAUCUU